rnacentral:rRNA from 1 species
UGGGGGAUAUUGCACAAUGGGCGAAAGCCUGAUGCAGCGACGCCGCGUGGGGGAUGAAGGCCUUCGGGUUGUAAACUUCUUUUGCUCUGAACAAGGCAUGCCUUUGGGGUGUGUUGAGUGUAGGGGUUGAUUAGCGCCGGCUAACUACGUGCCAGCAGCCGCGGUAAUACGUAGGGCGCGAGCGUUGUCCGGAAUUAUUGGGCGUAAAGGGCUUGUAGGUGGCUGGUUGCGUCUGUCGUGAAAGCUCAUGGCUUAACUGUGGGUUUGCGGUGGGUACGGGCUGGCUUGAGUGCAGUAGGGGAGGCUGGAAUUCCUGGUGUAGCGGUGGAAUGCGCAGAUAUCAGGAGGAAUACCGGUGGCGAAGGCGGGUCUCUGGGCUGUUACUGACGCUGAGGAGCGAAAGCGUAGGGAGCGAACAGG